rnacentral:rRNA from 1 species
UACGGAGGGGGCUAGCGUUGUUCGGAAUUACUGGGCGUAAAGCGCACGUAGGCGGCUUUGUAAGUUAGAGGUGAAAGCCUGGAGCUCAACUCCAGAACUGCCUUUAAGACUGCAUCGCUUGAAUCCAGGAGAGGUGAGUGGAAUUCCGAGUGUAGAGGUGAAAUUCGUAGAUAUUCGGAAGAACACCAGUGGCGAAGGCGACUUACUGGACACAUAUUGACGCUGAGGUGCGAAAGCGUGGGGAGCAAACAGGG